rnacentral:rRNA from 1 species
AGACGACGACGUGGAUAGGCCGGGGGUGUAAACGCAGCGAUGCGUUGAGCUAACCGGUACUAAUGAACCGUGAGGCUUAACCUUACAACGCCGAAG